rnacentral:RNase_P_RNA from 1 species
UAAAUCAGGCAAUUGCGCAGGUGUUUGCCUGUGAGGAAAGUCCGAGCAGCGCAGAGCAGGAUAACGGCUAACGGCCGCCGGGGGUGACCCUAGGAACAGUGCAACAGAAAUAAACCGCCGUGAAAACGGUAAGGGUGGAAAGGCGUGGUAAGAGCACACCGAGCCGUCGGAGACGAGGGCUGCCAUGUAAACUCUAUCCGCUGCAACAUCGACUGAGGGGCUGUUUGCUCGACACAUAACCUCGAAGGAUGGCUUGAGCAGUUCGGCAACGGACUGUCGAGAUAGAUAAUUGCCCACGACAGAACUCGGCUUACGGUUU